GACGAACGCUGGCGGCGUGCUUAACACAUGCAAGUCGAACGGUAAGGCCCUUCGGGGUACACGAGUGGCGAACGGGUGAGUAACACGUGUGUGAUCUGCCCUGCACUUCGGGAUAAGCCUGGGAAACUGGGUCUAAUACCGGAUAGGACCACUGCCUGCAUGGGUGGUGGUGGAAAGCUUUUGUGGUGUGGGAUGGGCCCGCGGCCUAUCAGCUUGUUGGUGGGGUGAUGGCCUACCAAGGCGACGACGGGUAGCCGGCCUGAGAGGGUGACCGGCCACACUGGGACUGAGAUACGGCCCAGACUCCUACGGGAGGCAGCAGUGGGGAAUAUUGCACAAUGGGCGCAAGCCUGAUGCAGCGACGCCGCGUGAGGGAUGACGGCCUUCGGGUUGUAAACCUCUUUCAGCACCGACGAAGCGCAAGUGACGGUAGGUGCAGAAGAAGGACCGGCCAACUACGUGCCAGCCGCCGCAGUAA
rnacentral:rRNA from 1 species